rfam:Salmo salar isolate Sally breed double haploid chromosome ssa06, whole genome shotgun sequence.
UAGCUCAGUUGGUAGAGCAUGGUGUUUGCAAUGCCAGGGUUGUGGGUUUGAUUCCCAU